UCCUCGUUGCCUGUCCGCCAUCUUUACUGGGGGCAGCUUCCGGCGUGAGGCGGUCCGCAGGUUGAAGGCGUGGUGUUUCCGGAUUAGUUCACCCGCGGCAGGGAAACGGAAAGAGACAUCGGUCCUCGGGGACACUGCUCUGGUGGAGUCUCCUGCUGAGCCAUCUGGGAAGCCCAACAAAGGAAGAGAACAUGGGAUUUGAUGUUGAACAGACCCAAGUUCAAACCCUAUCUCUUGCAUUUGGCAACUGGAUACUGCCCAAGAAGACAGAAUGCAGAAGAGCCCAUCUCCCCUGAGUUCUCUAAGCCCUUGUCCCUGAGUUGCUCUCUUGAGCCCAAGGCAGGGAGCCUAGAAGCUCCCAUCCAGGGAUGGACACGGCGUGCUCGAGAUGUGGAUGGUGUACCGUGGGACCUCCCUUUCUGUAAGAAAAAAGGGAAUCAAGUUGACCAAUGUAGGUAACAUAACUUAGUAAUGAGAGGUUCUAAUAUGAAGGUUCUUUUCAAGGGUGUGUUAGGAAUGUAAUGACAAAGAAAAAAGAACUCCAAGAAUGCCACAGAUUGAAAAGAAGAAUAAUCAUAAACUGCUGGUGGGAGUAUAAACUGUCACAAUCUUUCUGGGAGGUACUGUCAAUAAGUAUCAAACACUUUAAAAAGUAUGUUUCUUUUACUCAGAAUUUUCACUUUGAGAAACUAUCCCAAAGAAAUAGUUAACAAUCCCUGUGAUGAUAUAUACAAGAUGUUUAAAUCACUAUCCUUUACCAUAUCAGAAAGUUACAACUAACCCAAAUUUGUGCAGUAAUAAUGGAUUUGUUAUUUUCUAAUAUGUUCAAAUGGGGCCUCCAAAGAAAUACUGUGUAGCCACAAAACAUGAUGCUUUCAACCUUCUUUGUGCUUCAGACCCACCUGGAGAGAACUAAAGAAAUAUAAAAACAUGACCUCGACCUGAGAGAUCCGGAUUCAUUUGGUUUGGAAAGGGCUUGGGUGCUUCUUUUUCUGCUGCGGGGCAACCUUAUAGUAUAUAUGCCAUUUUGCAUCCACGUGAGCACAGUCAGUUCUCUCCAUUCGCGGAUUCCGAAUUUGUGAACCUGCUGACAUCUGUUGGUAACCCCAGAGUUGCAUACCCAUGAUGCUUUCACUGACAUUUGAUAGCACACACAGCAUCAAAAACCUGAGUCCCUCUCCCAGCUGAGGUUGAACAAGGCUCUGCCUUCUUGUUUUCGCUCUCAUGUUACAAGUAUGCCUAUUGUGGUCUCUGAAGUACCACACUGUGCGCAGUUCUAGGUUGGGUUGGUGAUGAUUUCACGGUUUAGAAUGGCUCCCUUGCCAAAGGCUGAAGUACUGUCCAGUGUUCUGGUCAGCCUCUUCUUUUGUGGUUUCUCUGUUUUACAUCAAACUGAAAAGAUUCCCCUUCCCCUGCUGCGAUCACAAAAGAAACUCUCCUAUGGUUUCUUCUGGUACAUCCAUGGUGUCACUUUCUUAUAUUUAAAUCUUCUAUCCAUCUGGAAUUUAUUUUUGGGUAAGUUGUGAGGUAAGGAUCUAACUUUAUUCUUUUCCAGGUGGCUACCCAUUUAUCCCAAUGAAAUGUACUGAAUAAUUCAUAUUUCUCCGCUAAUUUGAAGUGCCCAAUUUCCUUGUUACUUAUCUCAGUCUAAACUUUUUAACAAUCAACCCUCAAUAUAUAAGAAUUAUAUUGUUUAUAAAAUAAAAUACUUCUUAUAUAAUAAAAAAGAGACUAAAGAUUUUUCACUGAUUUAAACAAACUGAUUUUAUAAAAUUAAUGACUAUAUGCUAAUGACAGGAUGCAAAAAGUAGAGAAGUAUUAAUGAGUAGUAUGCAAUAAUAGAGAAUUUAUAUAAAAUUAAGUUAAUUUUCUCACCCACUCUCCUCACAUACUGUCCCUUUCACACAGGUGGAUACUGUUAACAACCUGGUGUUUAUUCUACCAAAUCUUGUUUAAAAAAUGCACCCAUACAAACACAUACACAUACAUGUGUGUACAUUUGUGUAUAUCUUAAUUCUGGUCUUCAUUGGACUUUUCUUAGAGAUCUUUCCAUAUCUGCACAAAUAGAUUUUUGUUGUUUGGUUGCUGAGUCAUAUCUGACUCUGCAACACCAGGGACUGUAGGCCGCCAGGCUCCUCUGACCAUGGGAUUCUCCAGGCAAGAAUACUAGAGUGGGUUGCCAUUUCCUUUUCAGGGGAUCUUCCUGACCCAGGAAUCAAACUUAUAUCUUCUGCAUUGGCAGGCUGAUUCUUUACCACUGAGCCACCUGGGAAGCCCUGCACAAAUAGAUACACCUCACUCCGUAACAGCUGUACCAUGGGCCUUGUUGGGGCUGUAUCAUAGUAAGACCACCCCAAAUGACAGGCAGGGAAGUUAAUUCCAGCUUUUCUCACCUAGCAGGUAGUGUUACAAUAAGCACUGUGUGUCUACACCUUUGACCAUGUGCGACUGUUUCCAAGUGGCAGCCUCUUGCUAGGGGAGUUGCUAGUGAAUGAGCUUAACACCUGACAUUUAGACAGCGCCAGACCAACUUCCAGAACAUUGCAGGAAAAUGUCCAUUUCUGUAUGCUCUUAGCAACACUGGUGCCCUUUUAAAAAAUUUUGCCUAAAUGUAGGCAAAAAAUGGACUGUUGUUCUUCAAGUGGUUGGUGGGAUUGAGCAUCAUGUCAUCUUACAGACUAUCCCUUUCCUGUACAUAGAUGAGGUGUGUUUGAAACUGUAAUGCUGGGAGAAGUCUGAGUACCUUACUCACUAAGAACAGUGUGCCCCUAGUCAGAACACCGGGAAUACCGGCAGUGCUGUGGACACGUGGAGCUGAAGCCUGGGGGACUGAGGAACAGAAGUGCUGUGUGUAGGUGGGUCCCCAGGUGGGGCUCCAGACAAUGAACUGUGCUCAGAAGUCAUGGGUUUCAGACCCACUUGUGGGGCUUCAGGCCUGCCCUGCACCGCCCCUCUGCGCCUCAGCGUCCUCAGCUGUAAAACACCUCGUACCCAGGGUCCCGCCGCCUCCUACCUGUGCUCUCGGUGAAGUUCCCCAGGCUGAGGAUGUCGUUGAGCUCUUGGUAGUGGUUCUGUUUAAUGUAGGUGGUCUUUUCUGGCGUGUCCUGCAGCUGCAUGGUGACCUCCUCCAAGUCUUUGUCCAGCUAGAAGACACAGGCUCCAGCUGAGUGAGAGCUCCUGCCCUGGCCCCAAGUAGGAAACUCAGUUUUCCCAACUCAUUGCUCUAAUCUGGGGGCUCACAAAUCUCUUAAGAACUCCUGUUAAAGAAUGUCUUGAGUCGGGCAUCACUGGACCGCAUAGCCUGGGCCAGGUGGGCAAUAAACUCCUGUCAGAUUCUGUGUAGUUUCUGUUCCCCCAGUUCUUGCUGCAGCCACAGUGACAGGAGAUGGGGCUGCGGCAUCACGACGUGGUGAUGCUCUGGGGGAUGUGGGGGGAAGCGGCAGCCCGGGGAGUCCCUGCCCGAGGCAGAAGGGCCCGGGUGGGAGGACGGGGCCCUGAGACCCGCCCUGUGGGAGGUACCUCUGUGAUCUUCAUGCGCAGGCGAUGGUUUUCUGACUGCAGGCCCUCCAGGCGGGAUGUGCUUGCUUGGUUCACGCUGGUGACUGAGGUGGAGGUUUUAGAAUCUUCUUUCUUCUGAUUCUGAGUGAAUUGGAAUCGUCUGUUCUGAGUGGCUGCGUCUGGGUUUGUUCUCAGAGUGAUGAGCUGCAAGGACAGAGGAGGGCUGAAAACAGGACUCUGGGGUCUACACUCCCCCCUGUCCCUCCAGCUGCUUCCAGGGGCCCUGUCCAGAGGCAGCAGGGGACCCUGGGGACCACGCAGCCUGGGCGUCGGGAGCCCAGGCUCAGCCUUUCUCUGUCCUUUUGUCUGGUGUGUGCCCUUGGGCAGGGCCUUCCUCUUGCUAAGUCUUGGGUUUUUUCCUUGCUCCUAGAUGUCUGGUCUCCUGACCCUGAUUCCAUGAGAAUCCCAGCCAUCCUGCAGAGCCCACCCAAUGCCCCUUAGCCUCACUCCAACUGAGCCUCAUUCCACCUUAGGCCUUACUCCACACAGAAAAUAAAAACAGCUGUAGGCGACAGCUGUGAAGACAGUGCGCAGGCUUGUGCUUGUCAGAACCAGGGCCACAGCCUCUGUUCGCCAGGACCUCACGGUUCAGAGGCAAGGAGCAGGGAUGGAGAAGGGAUCUUCCCCAGGCCAGAGUGCUCGCCAUGCUGCUCUGGGCCUGGGCUCAGAUCCAGGGAGGGUCUGUGCAAGGAUGGUGAGGAUGAAGGAAGUCUGGGGAGAAGGGAUGGCAUGUGUGAGCACCGGAGGCCUGGGGCUCAGGCGCUUAUAGAGAAGGGCGGCUGUGUGGGGACAGGGCUCUCUGGCAGAGACAAGGAGAUCGAUGGUCCUGGAAGGCAGGCCCGUGGUGGGGACCCAGUCCUGGAGCCAGGAGCGCAGUGAAGAGCUAGAGAGGGUGAAAAAGCAGAGUGACCCGAUAAGAGCUGGGCUUAGACUCAUCUGGCAUCUUCCACAGGGUGGAGAGGAAGUCAGCGUGCAGGUGAAGAAGCUGUGGCAUUAACCUGGAGCCUGGGAAGGUGUUGCCAGCUAAAGGAAGGAGUGUGUGCCAGAGGCCUUCUGGAACAGAGCCGACGCUGCCUACGCUCGAGGCUGAGGAGCUGGGGGACCCCCAGUGGUCUCCCUCCCCCUUUUCUAAGGCAGAUACUCCCUAACUCGGCUCUAUCACUGAAGACGUUUGGGCGUCCAACAGCUGCGUGAGCCAGUUAACAUCAUCCCAAGGGCCUACACUAUCUCACAGGGCUUCUAUCCAGAUGAAAUGAGAGGAUGGAUGUGAAAGCAUUUCAUAAACUGAAUGGGAACCAGAAGCCCAGGAAGCAGAUACUGAGAGAGGGAAGGAAACCACACUGCUGAAAGCCGGCUUCACUCUGGCUCCUUCAGUCCUACAGCCGGAGAGCCGCAGAGCGCUGGAGCCAGGAGGAAACUUCCAGACUUCUCCGGGGCCGGCUGCUUAUCUCAGCAGCAGCAGCCCCACAUCUCCGAGGCAGCAAAGCUCUAAGCUGUCACUUCAAGAUGGGGAAACAGGCCCAGAAAAGGACUCCUGGCAGGGGGGUGACUGACUGGAGACACAGGCGCAGGUGUCCUGACCCUGAUCCCGUGCCCUUUGCUGUGCAGCCUCGGGGCUGCCCUAGCGUUCGCUGGAAUGUACCGUUCCCAGGCGCCAGUCGUGGCCAGGAGCCAGGAAUUUUAUACCCAUGUUACAGGUGAGGACACGGAGGCUCAAAGAAGACGAGAGACUUGCUUAUGGUGACAGAGCAAGUCAGAGGCAAAGCCAAGCCAGACGUCUGUCCUACAGAGCAAGUGGGGGCAGCUCAGCGUCUGUGGCUGGCCUCUGGUCCCCUUCCCGUGGAUACAGGCCAGCGGGGGUGCCCUGCUCGCUGUAGGCCUUUGUCUCAGGCCUCUGGGGCAAGCUCAGAGCAGAACUCCCAAGUGUUGCUGCUGAACGCAAAGCCAAGCGGUGCUUGACAGGGUUGGGGGCUCCCCCAAGGCACUCUGCCAACGGGUAAUGGUGCCGCUGCUCCGCCUGACUUCACGGUCCGCGGCGCCCUCCCGGCACAGGGGCAGGGCGUCAAACGCUGUUCAGCGGGCCCGGCUGUGCUGGGCAGUGAGAGACCAGGGCCCACACCGGCACUUCCGCAGAGGAAACGAUGACCCAGUGCUGGGGACGGGGAGGUCCCGCACUGCCCAGGAGAGAUCAGCAGGCCACGGCGGGGCCCUGGCUGGGCAGCCCUCCUCCGCCCGGGAGCAGAGGGCCACUCGUGCCCCUCGGGCGUGUGCAGGGCGGCGGGUGUGUGGAACUUCACCUCGACAGCAUUUAGCGUUGUCAGAUUUCAUAGUCAGUGUUUAAACCUCAGGUGAUGUCACCCAGCACCCAGAUUUCUGGCCUCUUUUGGAAAUGAGGGCUCAGCGGCACAGGGCCGCGCACGCGUCACUGCUCCUGAGCUGGGCCCGUCUCCGCCCUCCCGUAUCCUGGCCAGCGCGGCUCCAGUGUUCGGUACAGAAUCAAAUAAAUGCUUGGAAGGGCUUAUGAUUCUAAGAGCAUAUUUGAA